rnacentral:lncRNA from 10 species
UGGAAAGUUUAAAAAAGGACUGGAAUUCACAGGGGGGGCCAGACAGUUUAUGAAUUUGGGAAAUAGAAACUGUCUAUAGGUCUGCUUAUCUGAAUGCAUGGAGGAAGAAUUGGGCUGGUUAAUGGAAUGAGCCCUCCCCCACAAGCCCACACCAGGAUUCUCAACUUGCAAAGAAUCAGAAAUCAGUGAAGGCGACCUAAAUGUUAAUAACAUACUGAACCAAAUGGAAUCUCUUCAUCAAUUGCUAAAGCUAUUGUGGUACAGAAUUAUGUAGUGUCUGGGUCAUCUGUAUGUAUACCAAUUCCUCCACAUGGGACCAAAAAGAGAGAGAGCUUGAGAAGAAACGUGGACACGAGAUUUCUAGGAUAGCCAGGCUCACCCAUAGCUUUCUCAUGUGUGAUUUGGUCUCCUGAGGCUGAAGUCUGAAGUAUGAAAAGGUAAACACUCCACCUGAUCCAGAAACAAAAACAAAGCAAAGUUAGAAGGAAGAGAAACAUGAAAAAAGACAUUUUAGCUCAUAUGGAGGCUCUGACCACUAAGGCAAGUGACACAGAUCCAGCCACAGCAGCAGUACCCUCGGGGUGGCACCUCCAGUUCAGAUUCCACUUGAAGAUGCUCCGCCCAUCGCCAGUCAAGGGGUAGAUGGGCAGAAAAGCAUGGGUCAAAAAGAGAAUGAUGAGAUGGAAGAAAUAUCUCAUUCUACUUUGCGUCCAAGUACAGUGGCUGGUUCUUCAGGCCCAAAUGUGGCUCCGGUUCACCCAGUAUUGGAGGGGGCAUCCUCUGCUGCUAAUGAUGGGGGAAAUGUAAAGAAAAAAAAUAGCCAUAAAAGGAGGAAUAGAAAGGAAUUAAGGUUGUGUAUCUUUCUUGGCCUCUG